AACGAACGCUGGCGGCAGGCCUAACACAUGCAAGUCGAACGCCCUAGCAAUAGGGAGUGGCAGACGGGUGAGUAACACGUGGGAACCUUCCCUAUAGUACGGAAUAGCCCAGGGAAACUUGGAGUAAUACCGUAUACGCCCGAGAGGGGAAAGAUUUAUCGCUAUAGGAUGGGCCCGCGUCGGAUUAGCUAGUUGGUGAGGUAAUGGCUCACCAAGGCAACGAUCCGUAGCUGGUUUGAGAGAAUGACCAGCCACACUGGGACUGAGACACGGCCCAGACUCAUACGGGAGGCAGCAGUGGGGAAUCUUGGACAAUGGGCGCAAGCCUGAUCCAGCCAUGCCGCGUGAGUGAUGAAGGCCUUAGGGUUGUAAAGCUCUUUUGCCGGGGACGAUAAUGACGGUACCCGGAGAAUAAGUCCCGGCUAACUUCGUGCCAGCCGCCGCGGUAAGAC
rnacentral:rRNA from 1 species